rnacentral:rRNA from 1 species
AUACGUAGGGUGCAAGCGUUAAUCGGAAUUACUGGGCGUAAAGCGUGCGCAGGCGGUUUUGUAAGACAGUGGUGAAAUCCCCGGGCUCAACCUGGGAACUGCCAUUGUGACUGCAAGGCUGGAGUGCGGCAGAGGGGGAUGGAAUUCCGCGUGGAGCAGUGAAAUGCGUAGAUAUGCGGAGGAACACUGAUGGCGAAGGCAAUCCCCUGGGCCUGCACUGACGCUCAUGCACGAAAGCGUGGGGAGCAAACAGGAUUAGAUACCCUGGUAGUCCACGCCCUAAACGAUGUCAACUGGUUGUUGGGGAUUUAUUUUCUCAGUAACGAAGCUAACGCGUGAAGUUGACCGCCUGGGGAGUACGGCCGCAAGGUUAAAACUCAAAUGAAUUGGCGGGG